GUCCUUUAGAAUUUAAUUGAAGGUCUAACCUGCCCAGUGAUGAUUUUAACGGCCGCGGUAUACUGACCGUGCAAAGGUAGCAUAAUCAUUAGUCUUUUAAUAGAGGGCUGGUAUGAAAGGUUUGACGAGGGACUAGCUGUCUCAUUUUAUUUGUUUUAAAAUUUAAUUUUUUAGUUAAAAAGCUAAAAUUUUAUUGGAAGACGAGAAGACCCUAUAGAUCUUUAUAUAGAUUAAUAUAGAAGAACAUAUAUCAUAUUUUUAUAUUAUUCUGUAUUUUGUUGGGGUGACAAAAAUAUAUAAUUAACUUUUUUAUUUAUCAACCAUUGAUUUAUGAAUAUUAGAUCCAUUAUUAGUGAUUAUUAGAUUAAGUUACCUUAGGGAUAACAGCGUAAUCCUCCUCCAGAGUUCAUAUUUACAGGAUGGGCUUGCGACCUCGAUGUUGGAUUAAGAUAAUAAUUAGGUGUAGCCGCUUAAUUUAUAGGUCUGUUCGACCUUUAAAUUCUU
rnacentral:rRNA from 1 species